rnacentral:rRNA from 2 species
GGUUAAGUUAAUAAGGGCGCACGGUGGAUGCCUUGGCACUAGAAGCCGAUGAAGGACGUGACUAACAACGAAAUGCUUUGGGGAGCUGUAAGUGAGCAAUGAUCCAGAGAUG